rnacentral:rRNA from 1 species
UGGCGGCACUAGCGCGGUGGUCCCACCUGACCCCAUGCCGAACUCAGAAGUGAAACGCCGUAGCGCCGAUGGUAGUGUGGGGUUUCCCCAUGCGAGAGUAGGGAACUGCCAG